rnacentral:rRNA from 1 species
GAAUACAACAAUAAGACGAGAAGACCCUAUGGAGCUUUAAUUAACCGACCCAAAGAGACCCAUUAAUUUCAACCGACAGGAACAACAAACCUCUAUAUGGGCCGACAAUUUAGGUUGGGGUGACCUCGGAGAACAGAACAACCUCCGAGUGAUUUAAAUCAAGACUAACCAGUCGAAAGUAUUACAUCACUUAUUGAUCCAAAAGUUUGAUCAACGGAACAAGUUACCC